AUAUAAGGAAUUAGGCCAGAAUUCAGUCAAUUUCUCACCUACACUUUGUGACUGGAAUAUCACAAAUGAAAUUCAAUCCUCAUUUAAACUCUUCAACUUUUCCCUCAUGGAUUUACUUGUGUGCACCAAGGAAUGAUUUAUGAUUGAAAUAAAGAUCACAGACUGGACAUAUGAAACAUUUCCCCACGGCGUGACUUCUCUGGUGUAUUAACAAAUAAGAAUUCCUACUGAAAGAUUUCCCACAAUCAGGACCAUUCAAAAGAGUUUAUCAUCUGUGUGAGUCAUCUGGUUUCUAAUGAGAUGGGAAUUUUGAUUAAAACAUUUUCCACAGUCUAGACACUCAAAUGGUUUCUCUCCUGUGUGAGUCCUCUGGUGUCUUACCAGGCAAGAAUUGUGACUGAAACUUUUCCCACAAUAAGGACAUUCAAAGGGUUUCUUUCCUGUAUGAGUCCUCUGGUGUAUUACCAGGUAGGAAUUGCAAGUAAAACUUUUCCCACAAGGAGGAUAUUCAAAGGGUUUAAUCUCCGGUGUGAGUCCUGUGGUGUCUCAUGAGGUCAGAAUUUUGACUAAAGCCUUUUCUACAGUCAGAACAUUUAAAGUGUUUCUCUCCUGUGUGAGUCCUCUGGUGUUUUACCAGGCUGGAAUUAUCACUAAAACCUUUUCCACAGUCAGGACAUUCAAAGGGUUUCUCUCCUGUGUGAGUUCUCUGGUGUAUUACCAAGUAGGAAUUCCGACUGAAACUUUUCCCACAGUCAGGACAAUCAAAGGGUUUCUCUCCUGUAUGAGUCUUCUGGUGUUUAACCAGGGUGGAAUUCUGACUGAAACUUUUCCCACAAUCAGGACAUUCAAAGGGUUUCUCUCCUGUGUGUGUCCUCUGGUGUUUCACCAGGGUGGAAUUAACACUAAAACCUUUUCCACAGUCAGGACAUUCAUAGGGUUUCUCUCCUGUGUGAGUUCUCUGGUGUCUCAUGAGGCUGAAAUUUGUGAUGAAAAAUUUCCCACAAUUAGGACAUUCAAAGGGUUUCUCUCCUGUGUGAAUCCUCUGGUGUAUUACCAGGUAAGAAUUGCGACUAAAACUUUUCCCACAAAUAGGGCAUUCGAAGGGCUUAUCUUCUGUGUGAGUUCUCUGGUGCAUUACCAGAUAGGAAUUGCGACUAAAACUUUUCCCACAAAUAGGACAUUCAAAGGGUUUAUCUCCUGUGUGAGUCCUCUGGUGUAUUACCAGGUAGGAAUUAUCACUAAAACUUUUCUCACAGAUAGGACAUUCAAAGGGUUUCUCUCCGGUGUGAGUCCUCUGGUGUAUUACCAGGUAGGAAUUCUGACUGAAACUUUUCCCACAGAUAGGACAUUCAAUGGGUUUCUCUCCUGUGUGAGUCCUCUGGUGUCUCAUGAGAUCAGAAUCUGACUAAAGCCUUUUCUACAGUCAGGACAUUCAAACAGUUUCUUUCCUGUGUGAGUACUCUGGUGUCUCAUGAGGUGGGAAUUCUGACCAAAACCUUUUCCAAAUAGGACAUUCAAAAAGUUUCUCUCCUGUGUGAGUCUCUGGUGUAUUACCAAAUAGGAAUUCCGACUGAAACUUUUCCCACA
rnacentral:lncRNA from 1 species